GACCCCCAUGGCUUUGUUGCAGCAAGUCUCCUCCUCAAGGUCCCUCCCUAAGGCCCGAGAAAAUUAGGAUGCAUGUACAUGAGCAUGAACCUCUUCAGAGUUUUCUCCUUUCCUACUACUGAUUUUGCUAGAAAUUGAAUGUCCCAGUUUAGAAGGUUCUGCACAAGCUCUUGGCAGACCUCCUGGAUGCCAUGCUGGGGAACACUCUGGUAGAGUCCCCAGACACAGAUAGGCUCCAGAACAUCUUGGAGCAUGUCAACUUCUGGAUCAGGUCCAGAGUGUCCCAGGAGAGAGCCAGGGCCAUAAGGAGCAGCACAGCCCUGCACUGAUUUACCAUCACCCUCCCUGAAAUUGAUAACUCAGCACAGUUCCACAAGAUGGGGAACCUCGUGGCUCAGCUGGGUCUGUACAUCAGUGACCCAGCUAAGGACAUCAGCCAGCACAUCUGUACGUCAGCCAGCAGGCCAGGGAGGGUAUUUACUGGCUGUACCAACUGCUGCUGCACCAGAGAGGAGGACGUCACAGCCAAGAUGAUGUGCCAGCUCCACACCAUCCAUUCCUUUUGCCAAGCCCCUGAGGCACUGCAUCUCUUAGGACACCUGUGAUGGGUUGUAUAACCCCACACUGGGCCAGGAGGAGUUAGAGAGCAGUCCUGGGCCGCUGUGAUCCCACCCCACUCCACCUGCAAGAACCUGCUCAAGAUGGAAGAGAAGUUUAAAAAGGAGCCUGUCAUGGGAUGUAUGUACCCCUGCACUAGCCCAGCAACCAGUGGGUUAACACAGCCACUGCCAGCCACUGCUGACUGACAAGCUAACAGCAGCUGGAAGGAUAAAAGGGCUGGGAGCAGAAGGGCAGGGCAGCUAAAGAGGAGUGAGGAGGCAGGACAAAGGAACGCCUGUCAGCAGACUGCUAGAGAGCCGCCCAGGGAUAUCACCCCAGAAAGAGGUGAACAGGCCAACAGACUGAAAAGCCUACAGAGGCCUGAAGGAAGGUAGGAAGCAGUUCAGGGCACAGUCAGAGUCAGUAAGCCCUGACUCUCCUUCUCUAGCUUGAAGGCCCUGAGCUGGAACCAGGUGGGUGUGGGGGCAGGCCUGGGUUCCCCUAAAUCCUCCUGAUGCACCUGGGAACAGAGAGGACAUUGUUUGCACUGACGCCCCACCUCACAGAGCCAGACAGCUCAGAACGGGGAGAAACAGUAGAGAACAAGAGAGUUACCUCAGAAGAUCCUGAAUAAGGGUGCGGCAGGUGUCUGGAGAGAUUCUGCUAGCAGCAGCUACCCCAGGCCUGAGAGGAGGGGCUAGCCUGUCCCUAAGACUACAGAACCCUUUGAUCUAACUUCUGGAGGGUCAUUUGACUGCCCAGUGGAGAGGGAAGGCCUGGGCUUCUGUACUAACGACGCAUUUCAUGGAGGGGACAUAGACUCUUUUUCCCCUCUCAAAGAGGAGGAGAGGGUAGAAACAUUAUAAGCCCUGAGCCAAAGGUGUGCCACUCACAGGCGACCAGAAGUGGGUUGAAGACCCUUUCUUUUGUGGGGACGUUGGACUGUAUACAUUUUGUUGGACUCUGUUAACCUGGAACUCAACUGGUGAACAGGCUAGAGGGCCAAGGCCUCAGAUCCUCAUCACUAGGGCCCUACCAAAUUCACGGUCCAUUUUGGUCAAUUUCACAGUCAUAGGAAUUUAAAAAUCAUAAUUUUCAUGAUUUCAGCUAUUUAAAUCUGAAAUUUCACACUGUUGUAAUUCUAUGGGUCCUGACCCACAAAGGAGUUGGGAGGGUAGGGGGUGUUGCGGUACUGCUCCCCUUACUUCUGCACUGCUGCUGGCAGCAGCGCUGCCUUCAGAGCUGGACAGCUGAAAAGCAGCAGCUGCUGGCCAGGAUCCCAGCUCUGAAGGCAGAUCCGCCUCCAGCAGCAGUGCAGAAAUAAAGAUGGCAUGGUAUGAUAUUACCACCCUUACUUCUGCGCUGCAGCCUGCACAGCUGGACCCUCCGUAAGCAGCUGCCACUCUCCAGCCACCCAGCUCUGAAGACAACUGCACAGAAGUAAGGGUGGCAUGGUAUGGUAUUGCCACUUACUUCUACACUGCUGCUGGCAGGGUGCUUCCUUCAGAGCUGGGUGCC